UACAAUGUUUUGUUUUCUCUCCUUAUUUCUAGUUGAACUCCAGAGGGAGAGGGAGCUCAAGCAUAUUUUUACUCACAGUACCUUUUCAGUUUCAAUGCAUAAAUGUGGUACCAUCUGUUAAGUCUAUCAGUGAUAAAGUGUGAUGCAUCUCAUAGUGUCCAGCUUUCUUUUCAUGGAGCAGACUACAUAAAUCUGCAUAGCAGCUCUUCUGGGAACACAAGAAAUUCAAAUGAAAAUGCUAAGUAUAAUUUAGCAUGUGUUUCUGCAUGAGUCAUAUUUUUUGUGAUUCAUUUGCAUGAUAAUAUGCUACUAGAAUGAGCAUUAUAUGAACCACAUAUACUCUUGGAAAAAACAUAAAACAUGUGUUCGCCACUUUAAAACAAAACUAGUCUUUUUUGCUAUUAAUUUCUUAGGUUUCUUUCUUCUGUAGUAAGUAUUUUUGCCAUGCCAGUUUUAGCUCCACUUUUUCUUUAUAAGCUUAGGACUUCGCUGCCAUACUUAGGUCAACAAAAUACCAGCCCAGCCUGGAGUAAAGAUGAGCUAAUGCUUGCAUCUGAGAAAUUUAAGAGCACAUCCCUUGUGGCACCUGACACACCUACAUGUUUAUCACAUUCAUUCAUAUUUCUUAAAGGUGCAAAAAAAUCAGCUAUAUGGCUGUGAACACAUAAAGCCAGAAGGCUAAAUUAUAUUUCUAAAUGACAGGAAAAAAGUGAACAUCACUUCCAACAGUACCUUAAAAUACCCUGUUUGUUGGUUUUGGGUUCUUUUCCUUCAAUUUUGAAGUAUCUUCAAUAAUCUAAUCUACCUCUUUUGUCACAGUAACUUUCCCUGUUCAUGUUGUCAAAUGUGUUGUCUGGAAGCAACAUCCCUGGUGUCUCUGUGGCUCUUCGGGACUUCUCUAGUCUAACGCGUAAUUGCUCUGCAGAGACAGAGCAAGAGCUAUUCUGAAAUAAAACCCAACACAAGAAAUACAAGAGCGGCAGCACUGUGCUGUGAGAAACUUGCAGGAGGGUGCAAGAAGAGGGCAAAUGUACCAGUGUACUUUGCAGGAGGUCCAAGGCUCAGGGACUUGUUGAGCAACAGCUAAAUAUAGCGGAUGCGGUCACCCAGAGUUGAAGAAAGCAAGAGUAUAUGCCAAGAAAAGAUGAACUGAAAAAUAAACACAAACCUUAUAUGCAGAAAAUACACAGUGUAUUUCUUCUGAACCAAACACAACAACCUUCUGCCAACUGAUGUGGCCCUUCCAGGAGCUGUAAGGAUGUGCUGUGCUUGUUAGAGGUGAUCUAAAUUCUGCCCUCAAGAGGAAAAAGCACCCACAAAAGAAACCUGUAUCAAUUAAAAGUACUGAAGCCUCUUCACAUAACUGUGUGGUCUUUUACUCUGGUUACCCACAUACAUCCUGUGAAAUCAAAACGAUUUUGAAUAGACCAAGUACAAUUGCGGUAACGAAAGAAAAGGAGAGAAGUGGAAAUAGCUGCUUGUAGCCACCAACCUCAACUGAACCACCUGUAAAAGAGGCUCUUUGGAUCAAUAUUGUCAUUCUAACCACCAGUUUGAAGGCACUGCUCAUGUAUUUAUUCUGUCCCUUCUUAAUCCCAGCCACCUACUCACUGUACCCAAGCUGCUGUCAUUGUCAUUUGCAGCAGAUGCAGCAGUCACAGACCUCACCCUGCUUGUGACCACAGCAGUACUGCUUCAGAGCCAGCACCUAGCAAACUGCAGUAAACUUGACAUUGAGGCUCUGGUCUGACAUAUUCAUGUUCUCCAUCCCCACUGUCCCUCUAGCUGUGCUCUGCUGUGCCAAAUCCUAGUUGGCUUAAGCUGGUUCUUUCUCAUUUAAGGCUUCAUUGGGUUUUUGAUUUGUGUCAGCUUCAGUUGAUCAGAACAAAACUAGAUACAUAGCACAUUAAUUGAGAAGCUAACAGAGG